rnacentral:rRNA from 1 species
UACGGGGGGAGCAAGCGUUGUUCGGAUUUACUGGGCGUAAAGGGCGCGUAGGCGGCCUGUGCAAGUCAGUUGUGAAAUCUCCGAGCUUAACUCGGAACGGUCAACUGAUACUGCUCGGCUAGAGUGCGGCAGAGGAGACUGGAAUUCCUGGUGUAGCAGUGAAAUGCGCAGAUAUCGGGAGGAACACCGGUGGCGAAGGCGGUUCUCUGGGCCUGACCUGACGCUGAGGAGCGAAAGCGUGGGGAGCGAACAGG